GCUUCCAUAGUCUACUGGCUAGGACGCCGGCCUUUCAAGCCGGAGGACGGGGAUCGAAUCCCCGUGGAAGUA
rnacentral:tRNA from 1 species